CCGGUUCUUUCUCUUUUAUCUUUAAUUCUUUAAAUCGCCGACGAAGGACAAGAUUAAUCGCAACUAAUUUCCUUCUUUGGGGAAUAAGAACCCUAAUCGCCGUCGCUACUCUGUUUUGUUGAACUCGGAAACUCCUCUGUCGAUUUCACUGAAAACCCAAUUCGAUGAUUCAUAGAAAACCGAGACCGAGUUUGUUGUUCGUCUGAUUCGAUCUUGCUCCUCAAUUGCUUCGGUGCUCCUCAAACCAAUCGGUGGCUUCAAUUUUCAGUGGUUUCAAUUUUCGGUGGCUUCAAUUUUCAUUUUUCUGGAAUGGCAUCCUCGAGUACAGUCUCAAAAUAUCCUCCUCGCCUCUAUGAAGAAGGAAGAUCUCCCUUGCAAAACAGGAGCAUGAACCACAAUUGUUUUUUGUCAAAAAUUGGGAGAAUGAAAGAGGGUUUAGGCUUGGAUGUGUGGGGUAAGUUCAAGGAAUCAUCUCUUGGAGUAUUUAUUAAGUUAGCUGAAAUAGGAUACACUUGGUCUGCUGCAAAAGUUCAUUAUAUCCUUACACAUCAGCUAGCAGUCAACAAUUCGCAUGAGAUAUGGUCGUUGAUUGAUGGUAGACCUAUCAGAUUUUCGCUAAGUGAGUUUUCUGAAAUAACGGAAUUAAACUGUGAUCCAAUUGACCCGUCAGAGAACGUAGAUGUUGAUCAUCAUCCAUUUUGGAGCGAAAUGAAGAUUGCAACAACUUCAGACGGUCCAAAGUAUACUAAGUUGGAAAAGGUUAUGGAUUUUAGCAAGACAUGGUCUGAACCCUAAAGGAUGAUGGUUGGUAGGCUAAUGUUAUUAUCUGUUGCAGUACAUGACAUACAUCAUGGC